rnacentral:tRNA from 1 species
GAAAAAAUAGCUUAAGCCAGGUAAAGCGUUGGCCUGUCACGUCAAAGAGUGUGGGUUCGAGUCCCAUUUUUUUCG